ACGGUGAGUAACACGUAUCCAACCUGCCGUCUACUCUUGGACAGCCUUCUGAAGGAAGAUUAAUACAAGAUGGCAUCAUGAGUUCACAUGUUCACAUGAUUAAAGGUAUUCCGGUAGACGAUGGGGAUGCGUUCCAUUAGAUAGUAGGCGGGGUAACGGCCCACCUAGUCUUCGAUGGAUAGGGGUUCUGAGAGGAAGGUCCCCCACAUUAGAACUGAGACACGGUCCAA
rnacentral:rRNA from 1 species